UCCCCUAGUAACUGCGAGUGAAGCGGGAAAAGCUCAAAUUUAAAAUCUGGCGGUUUUGCYGUCCGAGUUGUAAUCUGGAGAAGCGUUUUCCGCGUUGGACCGUGUACAAGUCUCUUGGAACAGAGCGUCAUAGAGGGUGAGAAUCCCGUCUUUGACACGGACUACCAAUGCUUUGUGAUACGCUCUCAAAGAGUCGAGUUGUUUGGGAAUGCAGCUCAAAAUGGGUGGUAAAUUCCAUCUAAAGCUAAAUAUUGGCGAGAGACCGAUAGCGAACAAGUACCGUGAGGGAAAGAUGAAAAGCACUUUGGAAAGAGAGUUAAACAGUACGUGAAAUUGUUGAAAGGGAAACGCUUGAAGUCAGUCGCGUUGUCCGGGACUCAGCCUUGCUUCUGCUUGGUGUACUUCCUGGUUGACGGGCCAACAUCGAUUUUGAUCGGCGGAUAAAGGUAGAGGGAAUGUGGCACCUUCGGGUGUGUUAUAGCCCUCUGUCGGAUGCGUCGAUUGGGAUCGAGGACCGCAGCAUGCCUUUUUGGCCGGGGUUCGCCCACGUAACGUGCUUAGGAUGUUGGCAUAAUGGCUUUAAGCGACCCGUCUUGAAACACGGACCAAGGAGUCUAACAUGCCCGCGAGUGUUAGGGUGGUAAACCCUUGCGCGUAAUGAAAGUGAAAGUUGGGACCUCUGUCAUGGAGGGCACCGACGCCCGGCCUUGAACUUCUGUGACGGUGCCGCGGUAGAGCGUGUAUGUUGGGACCCGAAAGAUGGUGAACUAUGCCUGAAUAGGGCGAAGCCAGAGGAAACUCUGGUGGAGGCUCGUAGCGAUUCUGACGUGCAAAUCGAUCGUCAAAUUUGGGUAUAGGGGCGAAAGACUAAUC
rnacentral:rRNA from 1 species